UAUUUUUCGGGGAGAAACGGUGCGGCAGGAGCAGACGACGACGUGUGCAGACAACUCGCAACAUGUCGCGACGCGCGCUCACGAGUUGCAAGUCAUGCUCGCUGCCGGAGCCCAACACGAAUGCGAAGGCGGCCACGGCAUUUAUGACGGAACCGCGAAGAUUCCGUCGACGGGUUAUAAUAUCGGUAAAACUACGGCGACAACGCUUGCACCAUUCUGUGUCGAAGAACCCAGUGGAAGCAUGUGGAAGCUUCUAGAACAUUCCGAGUUCGGCAACUGUACGCAGGUUGCAACUUUUUUUUUAUCCUUUGUUUUUACCAUCACCCUCGCGCCGAUCACGGUGAUAACAGCGGCACGGCGGCUAGCGAGCCGGUGACGUAGUUCGACAUUAGACCAAUGAGACAAGAAAGGAAAUUGACCGGGCGUAUCAACGCCUUCGCCGAAGAGCUUGGCAUCGCGGUCGUCGUGGGCAUAUAGAGAGCAUCCGAUGGCUUGGGUCGCCAUUUUGCCUUUUCUGUCCACUUCGGCGUGCCUCGUCUCGGCUGCCUUCUGCGUCGCACGGUACCUCGAGCCCCUGCUGGUCUUAAUUACGCGCUAACAGUGGCAGCGCUUGUCGAAGUUGCAUGCUGCGCACCUUCCCGCCUUCGGCCGACUCUGGAAGCACUGGCUUGAAGCCCCGGGCCUGCAAAACGUGAAGCACGCCUCGAGAGACUUGUAGCCUGACCCGCCUGCCGCCUCGGAAAUUCCUGGCCCGCCUUUCGAGCUCCCGGAGUGUAAGUGACCGCCAGCCGGCAUAACUACGUUACGCGAACGACACUCCGGUCGAGCCAGCGCAGCGUAUAAGUCGCAAGUCGUUCCUGCUCGUUAUUUUGUUUGUGCGCGUUCCCACCCCCCGACGGCGCCUGGACUAUUGAACUGUGGAUGAACUCUGAGCGUGGCCACCAACCCCAGGACCUGCGCGGCAACCCCUCGUCACGUCGAGCGUCGUCUCUACGAGCUUCGCAUCGAGCGUCCUAAACGCUCAAAAGGCCUGUGUGUGCACUUUGUGCAUUUUUUCUAGAUGGUCUAGCUGGCGAGGGUGGCGCACGCCUUAGAGAAGUUAACUGUUUGUUCAGUUGCACUAGCUAGCGCUCACUGAGAUGUAUAGCUAUAUGGCAAAAUAACGCAAAGUUAGUUUUGUUGCUUAGCUGUAAGCCCGAGGUUUCGUGGGCAUGGCAUGCGGCCACACGGGUCUUCUCCGUGCCGGAAUCGAAGAGGACGGGCCACGUGUCCGGGGUGGCGGCGUAUAGCUUCAGGUUUAGCUGACACACAGCUUAGCUCACACUAGGCAGGCUAUAGCUGAUAGCCGUCCUCUUACGACUGCGUCAGGGACAUGGACCCAUCCGAAUGGCCUUGCGACCCGACCCCACUAUUUCGUGACAAGGUAGCCCGCGCGCGUCAGUGCUAUCGAGCGAAAUUGUGGUAUGACGAGAGCAAAUGGCGUUCGGAAAUAACCUCGCCAGCUAUUAGGCAUUAACCCGCUCUACGCAGCCCCUCGACGCCGGACGUGGCCUGCUGUUUUUGUCGGAGCUGGGCCGGGCAGCAGCUACAAGCAUCACUCGUACCGCGCACGGCCUACAGUGUUCCCUCGUCGGUGUGGCCUUGUGGCCCUUGACCGGGAUCCCGAGGUCCGCUUUCCAGAUUGCGGACCACGAGUCGGAAGGAUAUCCAGUGUGCUGCUCCAUGUUUGCCAUCCUCCCAGCGUCCCCCACCGGAGAUGGCCUUGAGAACCUCUUACCGUGGCUGACCGCCUUGGCUCCUUUGCAUUUCCACGUCAAUGGCGUCCUUCUGCUACGGGGGACUUCGCUUGCUACUACUGGACGGGAAAGUCAGCGCCGAAGUCCUCUGGCAAAGACAUCAGAGAACUGUCCCUGAAAGACCGACAGGACUGCGUCAGCAUAUGGCACCGCGUGUGGGAAACAAA